AAAAUGUUUACUUCCGGUAAAACGAAGUUGGACGUUCUUAAACAUUGUAUUUUUUGAAUGGUUCUCUGAUAAACAAAACUCUUCAUAUAGUAAAAAUAGUUCUAGAACCGAGUUUCCAUUAGUGUUUAUAUGUAUUUAUUUACUCUACAUAUUGAUAAGAAAAGUGCGUCGUAGCGGAAAAGAAAGUAUAGGAAUUGAUUUAAGAGGAAAUUCGAAAUCGUGUAUUAUCUACCACUUUGAAGCACCCUGCAUCAAGUUGUUGGUGCUAGAAAUGGCGGAAAUGAAUAAUGAUGCCUCAAAAAAGAAAGCCCGUACAUUUGAUUUUAUGGAAAUGUUUAAGGAGGCAAAGCAAACAGCCCUGGAACGCAGUCAAGGUAAAUUUGAAGAUGAUAAGAACAGUGCCAUUGCCACGGAAGGUGAUGUCAUAGGCCCCUCUCCUUCUGUUUCACAAAAAUCCUCAAAGACUGGAGAUGAUUUGGGACCUUCAAAACCUCAAAAGUCUAAUGAAGUGGAAAGUGAUGAUGAGGAGGAUAUGAUAGGACCUCCUCUUCCACCUGGUUUGACUAAAGGCUCAAAAACAUCAGAAGAGGAGGUUGAGAUAGGACCCCCUUUACCCCCAAGUACAUCAGCAUCAAAAGCUUCAGAUGAUGAAGAUGAUGAAGAGGACGAACCAGAGGAGAGCUUAGAUAAGAAAAUUCCUUCUUCUCACGAGAUAUCUCUAGAUCACGGCUCCAAAGCAGUAUCUGCAUUAGCCUUGGAUCCCGCAGGGGCACGGCUUGUCACAGGAGGGCAUGAUUUCAUUGUCAAAUUCUGGGAUUUUGCUGGAAUGGAUCAGAGUUUACAGUCAUUUAGAAACAUUAAACCAUGUGAAAGCCACCAUUUGAACCAACUGCAGUAUAGUGCUACAGGUGAAAUGAUACUGAUAGUGGCAGCUAAUUCACGGGCCAAAGUAGUGGACCGUGAUGGUUUUGAAAAGCUAGAAUGUGCCAAGGGAGACCCGUAUAUUGUGGACAUGGCUAGUACAAAAGGACAUACAGCCAUGUUAAAUGGAGGAAGCUGGAAUCCCAAAGUCCGAGAAGAGUUCAUGACCUGUUCUAAUGAUGGCACAGUGAGACUGUGGGACGUCAACGCCGAGGGGAAAAAGCACAAAAACUGCAUCAAGCCUAAAUCUCAGCAGGGGAGGAAACUUGUCCCCACAGCCUGUGCCUACAGUAAUGAUGGCCGCUGGGUGGCAGCUGCUUGUCAGGACGGCUCAAUCCAAAUGUGGGAUCAUAACAAAAACUUUGUGAAUGUGGCUAUGAUUAAUAGAGGAUGUCACAUGAAUGGCACGGACACUUCCUGUUUAUGCUUCUCUUAUGACGGACAAUGCCUUGCAUCAAGAGGAGGUGAUGAUACACUAAAAUUGUGGGAUAUGAGAAAUUUCAAGAAACCCCUGAAGGUGCGAGAAAACCUUAUCAGUUAUUACACCGUAACUGACUGCAUCUUUAGUCCUAAUGACAGAAUGGUGCUAACAGGAACCUCUGUGAAAAAAGAAGGUGAUGGGAAACUUCUCUUCCUGGAUAGGGAGUCAUUAGACACAGUGUCAGAAAUCACAGUGGCUGAAUCAAGUGUGGUGCGAUGUAUAUGGCAUCCGAAACUGAACCAGAUUGUGAUUGGUUGUAGUGACGGCAAGGCUCGAUUGUUUUAUGAUCCAGAAAAAAGCCACAGGGGAGCCAUGCUCUGUAUGGUUAAACAGCCCAGAAAAUCUAAACAGGUGCUUGCUCUGGCAUCUCAGCAGAUCAUCACACCUUAUGCCCUACCAAUGUUCAAAGAAACUAAGUCUACAAGUACUAAGAAAUUUGAGGAGAAAGUCAGGAAGGAUCCUAUAAGAUCAAAGAGGCCAGAUUUACCCAUGACUGGGCCAGGUGAGGGUGGACGACUGGGAGUGAAGGGGGCUACCCUGGCUCAGUAUGUGGCCCAGAGCCUGGUCAAAAGAAAACCCGACAAGUAUGAAAAUGAUCCCAGGGCCGCUAUCCUAAGACACGCCAAGGAAGCAGCAGAAAACCCUUUCUGGAUUGACCCUGCUUACAAGAAGUAAGUUGAUAAAUGGCUCCAAUUAUGCCAUUAAGAUCUUAUCAAAGAAACAAAAACAACUUGGAGCUAUACAGAUGUUUAUGCAUGUAGUCAGAACGGAUUUCGGAUACUGUGUAGUUUUCUGGAUUACACACAGCUUUAUCUUGAUUAUUUCAGGACACAACCACAUAAACUCUUCCAAGAAGAAGAGAAAGAAGAAGAGGAAGAUACUGAUGAACCAGUGUGGAAGAAACAAAAAAUAUGAUUAUAAUUUAAUCACAAAUCUCGAGAUAGUGGCUGCUGGUCGGUCACUAACAGCAGUGGUUUUCCUCCCUGUUGGGGGAAGAGAGACAAGGUCAUUUAUUAGCCAGUUGAGCGAUUAGUCAACAUUAUGCAGUCCUUGUUUGGAACAGGUUGUACCAGACAGUUGAUAUGUAAACAAGUGAUGCUGAGCCAAAUUUGAACCUUUUUGAUGAAAUCUAAUCAGAAUUGUCAUCAUGUUGUAUACUGUAUACAUGCUAGGUAUUUUAUUAAACAAUGAAUUGCAAAUUAAAAAAAAUACUGGUAUC
rnacentral:misc_RNA from 1 species